AUGGACUGGAUGCCUCUCCUCCUCAUGAUCCUCUCUCACUGCACGGGCUCCCUGUCCCAGCCCGUGCUGACCCAGCCGCCCUCCCUCUCGGCAUCUCUGGAAACAAUGGCCAGACUCACCUGCACCCUGAGCAGCGGCUUCAGUGUUGGUGGCUAUACCAUCUACUGGUACCAGCAGAAGUCAGGGAGCCCUCCCUGGGGUCUGCUGUACUACUACUCAGACUCUGAUAAGCACCAGGGCUCCGGGGUCCCCGGCCGCUUCUCGGGCUCCAAAGACGCCUCGGCCAAUGCAGGGCUUCUGCGCAUCUCGGGGCUGCAGGCUGAGGACGAGGCGGACUAUUACUGCAGUAUUUGGGAUAGCAGUUCUGGUUCUCACACAGUGCUGCAGACCCAUGAGGAAGUGCAACUUUCCAAGCCCUGGUGA